GACGAACGCUGGCGGCGUGCCUAAUACAUGCAAGUAGAACGCUGAAGGAGGAGCUUGCUCUUCUGGAUGAGUUGCGAACGGGGGAGUAACGCGUAGGUAACCUGCCUGGUAGCGGGGGAGAACUAUUGGAAACGAUAGCUAAUACCGCAUAGCAGUAGAUGUUGCAGGACAUUUACUUAAAAGGUGCAAUUGCAUCGCUACCAGAUGGACCUGCGUUGUAUUAGCUAGUUGGUGGGGUAGAGGCUCACCAAGGCGGCGAUACAUAGCCGAGCUGAGAGGGGGAACGGCCACACUGGGAACGAGACCCGGCCCAGAACCCUACGGGAGGGCGCAGGAGGGAAUUUUCGGCAAUGGACGGAAGUCUGAACGAACAACGCCGCGGGAGUGAAGGAGGGUUUCGGAUCGUAAAGCUCUUUUGUAAGAGAAGAACAAGUGUGAGAGUGGAACGUUCACACUGUGACGGUACCUUACCAGAAAGCGACGGCUAACUACGUG
rnacentral:rRNA from 1 species